rnacentral:lncRNA from 1 species
UAUGUAUGAAUAUAUAUAUAUAUAUAUAUAUAUAUAUAUAUAUAUAUAUAUAGUAUGUAUAAUAUACAUUUUGUGUGUGUGUGUGUGUGUGUAUUUCCUCACACACAGAGAUUAAAACUGAGAGAGUACCAGGCAUGGGCUCACACCUGUAAUUUCAGUGACUCAGCAGGCUGAGGUAGGAAGAUUGUAAGUUCUAGACCAGGCUCCUUAAUUUAGCAAGACCCUCAGCAACUUACUGAGACCCCUGUCUCAAAGUAUUAAAUAAAAGAACUGGGGAUGUAGCUCAAUAGUGACUCACUCUUUCAAGAUCACUUAUUUCUUUUUAAGAUACAGCUCUUUCAUGGACAGUUAUCCCAUAUAUUAACCAGCAAUCCACUUAUCAAAAUCCUCCACCUGUGGAUUCAGAUAUUGAAAUCUGAGUACCCAAAGCAAACUUAAGGUUUCUUCCAUAUGUUAACUCUUAAAAAUAUUUGUUUUUUAUUUUUUGGUGGUGCUGGGGAUUGAACCCAGGGCCUUAUGAAGGCUAGGCUAGUACUCUACCAACUGAGCUAUAUCCCCAGACCCAGAUCUUCAAAUUUUUUAAGGUAGCUAUUAUAACUUUCCUAUAACCACUCUUCCUCAUUUCCUCCAAACUGAAAGACUGAGGCUUUUAAAAUGUACUUUGCCAUACACCAUUUGCAUGACAUUAGAUAGUAACUUAACCUUUUCUGUCUUAAUUUCCUCCUCUGUGAAAUAAGGGUAACAAAAGAAACGUCUUCAUUGGGGGGGCUUUGCAAAUUAACUGAGACAACAAAAUGCUUAAAAACAGCACUGGGGGGCUGUGGCUGGGGCUCAGAGGUGGAGCACUUGCCUUGUACAUAUGAGGCACUGGGUCUGAUCUUCAGUACCACAUAAAAAUAAAUAAAUGAAAUAAAUAUAUUGUGUCCAUAUACAAAUAAAAAUAUUUUUA